rnacentral:rRNA from 1 species
GAUGAACGCUGGCGGCGUGCCUAAUACAUGCCAGUCGAGCGAACAGACGAGGAGCUUGUUCCUCUGACGUUAGCGGCGGACGGGUGAGUAACACGUGGAUAACCUACCUAUAAGACUGGGAUAACUUCGGGAAACCGGUGCUAAUACCGCAUAAUAUCUUUAACCGCAUGGUUCAAUAGUGAAAGACGCUUUUGCUGUCCUUAAUAGUUGUAUCGCGGUGGAAUUAGUUGUUUGGUAAGGUAACGGCCUACCAAGGCAUCGUACCUUAGCCGACCGGAGAGGGUGAUCGGCCACACUGGAACUGGAACACGGUCAAGACUCCUACGGGAGGAAGCAGUGGGGAAUCUUGGGAAAUGGGCGAAAGCCUGACGAAGAAAGGCCGCGUGGGGGAGGAAGGUCUUCGGAUCGUAAAACCCGUUUGUUGGGAAAGAACAAAUGGGGAAGUAAAAACGCACGUAUUGACGGUACCUAAUCAGAAAGCAACGGCUAACUACGUG